rnacentral:rRNA from 1 species
UACGGGGGGAGCAAGCGUUGUUCGGAUUUACUGGGCGUAAAGGGCGCGUAGGCGGCGCAACAAGUCAGUUGUGAAAUCUCCGGGCUUAACUCGGAAAGGUCAACUGAUACUGUGCGACUAGAGUGCAGAAGGGGCAACUGGAAUUCUCGGUGUAGCGGUGAAAUGCGUAGAUAUCGAGAGGAACACCUGCGGCGAAGGCGGGUUGCUGGGCUGACACUGACGCUGAUGCGCGAAAGCCAGGGGAGCGAACGGG